AUUGAACGCUGGCGGCAGGCUUAACACAUGCAAGUCGAGCGGGGUGAUGGUGCUUGCACUAUCACUUAGCGGCGGACGGGUGAGUAAUGCUUAGGAAUCUGCCUAUUAGUGGGGGACAACAUCUCGAAAGGGAUGCUAAUACCGCAUACGUACUACGGGAGAAAGCAGGGGAUCACUUGUGACCUUGCGCUAAUAGCUGAGCCUAAGUCGGAUUAGCUAGGUGGUGGGGUAAAGGCCUACCAAGGCGACGAUCUGUAGCGGGUCUGAGAGGAUGAUCCGCCACACUGGGACUGAGACACGGCCCAGACUCCUACGGGAGGCAGCAGUGGGGAAUAUUGGACAAUGGGGGGAACCCUGAUCCAGCCAUGCCGCGUGUGUGAAGAAGGCCUUAUGGUUGUAAAGCACUUUAAGCGAGGAGGAGGCUCUUUUGGUUAAUACCCAAGAUGAGUGGACGUUACUCGCAGAAUAAGCACCGGCUAACUCUGUGCCAGCAGCCGCCGUAA
rnacentral:rRNA from 1 species